CCUACGGGAGGCAGCAGUGGGGAAUAUUGGGCAAUGGGCGCAAGCCUGACCCAGCAACGCCGCGUGGGUGAAGAAGCGCCUCGGCGCGUAAAGCCCUGUCAGCAGGGAAGAAAAUGACGGUACCUGAAGAAGAAGCCCCGGCUAACUACGUGCCAGCCGCCGCGGUAAUACGUAGGGGGCAAGCGUUAUCCGGAUUUACUGGGUGUAAGGGGGGCGCAGACGGCGAUGCAAGCCAGGAGCGAAAGCCCGGGGCCCAACCCCGGGACUGCUCUUGGAACUGCGUGGCUGGAGUGCAGGAGGGGCAGGCGGAAUUCCUGGUGUAGCGGUGAAAUGCGUAGAUAUCAGGAGGAACACCGGUGGCGAAGGCGGCCUGCUGGACUGCAACUGACGUUGAGGCCCGAAAGCGUGGGGAGCAAACAGGAUUAGAUACCCGAGUAGUC
rnacentral:rRNA from 1 species